CCUAAAACUGCUCUCAAAAAAUUGAAGUCUAAAAGAAAAGAGCCUAGAAAAAGCCAAUCAAACAGGUAAUAUUGUGUGGUUGCUGGGGUUGGCGGGGAGUGGCACCGUUCAUUAGAAAAGCAUCUUAUUCAAAGGCGUGGACCUUGACCACUCCUUCAUUCAACAUUAGGGAACAUCCCUCUCGGGAUUUUGGCUCAAGGAAAAAAGAGAAACAGCCACGCAGAACAGAGGAGGGCCCCAAACCGGAGAGGACAGGCUACCGGAGGAGGUCUUCAACAGGGCAAGAGUGGAGAAAAUGAAAUGAGCUGAAGAGUGCGUAUGAAAUUUAUUUUAUUCAAGUGAAGAUUUAUGCUGGCAGAUUUUAUUCCGGCUGACAUUGACCUUUUCGGACGAGAUGAGAGUUUCUGCGGGUCAGGACUCUGGGAGCAGCCUCACUAUGCUGUUCUGGCUCAGGAUCUCCAAUGAAGCUGUGGUCAAGAUGUCGGCUGGGCUUAGUCAUCUGAAGGCUCGACUGGGGUGGAGGGUCUGCUCCCAAGAUGGCACACUCCAUGCCUGUUAGCUGGAGGCCUCAUCUCCUCCCAGUGUGAGCCUCUCCACUGGGCUGCUUGAGUGUCCUUGAGACAGGCCACUGCUUCCACCAGAGCAAGCAACCCAAGGGAAAGGGAGACAGAGGCCACAGUGGCCCUCAUACUCCAGCCUCCAGUGUGAUCUCCCACCGUUCCUCCUGGGUUCUGCUGGUUACACACAUAAUCUUGGUCCGUUCAGGCUGCUAUGACAAAAUACCACAAACUGGGUGGCU